CACUAUCGUUAACUGAAUACAUAGGUUAACGAGGCGAACCGGGGGAACUGAAACAUCUAAGUACCCCGAGGAAAAGAAAUCAACCGAGAUUCCCCCAGUAGCGGCGAGCGAACGGGGAGCAGCCCAGAGUCUGAAUCAGCUUGUGUGUUAGUGGAACGGUCUGGAAAGUCCGACGGUACAGGGUGAUAGUCCCGUACACCAAAAUGCACAGGCUGUGAACUCGAAGAGUAGGGCGGGACACGUGGUAUCCUGUCUGAAUAUGGGGGGACCAUCCUCCAAGGCUAAAUACUCCUGACUGACCGAUAGUGAACCAGUACCGUGAGGGAAAGGCGAAAAGAACCCCGGCGAGGGGAGUGAAAAAGAACCUGAAACCGUGUACGUACAAGCAGUGGGAGCACCUUCGGGUGUGACUGCGUACCUUUUGUAUAAUGGGUCAGCGACUUAUAUUCUGUAGCAAGGUUAACCGUAUAGGGGAGCCGCAGGGAAACCGAGUCUUAACUGGGCGUUAAGUUGCAGGGUAUAGACCCGAAACCCGGUGAUCUAGCCAUGGGCAGGUUGAAGGUUGGGUAACACUAACUGGAGGACCGAACCGACUAAUGUUGAAAAAUUAGCGGAUGACUUGUGGCUGGGGGUGAAAGGCCAAUCAAACCGGGAGAUAGCUGGUUCUCCCCGAAAGCUAUUUAGGUAGCGCCUCGUGAAUUCAUCUUCGGGGGUAGAGCACUGUUUCGGCUAGGGGGUCAUCCCGACUUACCAACCCGAUGCAAACUACGAAUACCGAAGAAUGUUAUCACGGGAGACACACGGCGGGUGCUAACGUCCGUCGUGAAGAGGGAAACAACCCAGACCGCCAGCUAAGGUCCCAAAGUCAUGGUUAAGUGGGAAACGAUGUGGGAAGGCACAGACAGCCAGGAUGUUGGCUUAGAAGCAGCCAUCAUUUAAAGAAAGCGUAAUAGCUCACUGGUCGAGUCGGCCUGCGCGGAAGAUGUAACGGGGCUAAACCAUGCACCGAAGCUGCGGCAGCGACACUAUGUGUUGUUGGGUAGGGGAGCGUUCUGUAAGCCUGCGAAGGUGACCUGUGAGGGUUGCUGGAGGUAUCAGAAGUGCGAAUGCUGACAUAAGUAACGAUAAAGCGGGUGAAAAGCCCGCUCGCCGGAAGACCAAGGGUUCCUGUCCAACGUUAAUCGGGGCAGGGUGAGUCGACCCCUAAGGCGAGGCCGAAAGGCGUAGUCGAUGGGAAACAGGUUAAUAUUCCUGUACUUGGUGUUACUGCGAAGGGGGGACGGAGAAGGCUAUGUUAGCCGGGCGACGGUUGUCCCGGUUUAAGCAUGUAGGCUGGUUGUCCAGGCAAAUCCGGAUAAUCAAGGCUGAGGUGUGAUGACGAGGCACUACGGUGCUGAAGUAACAAAUGCCCUGCUUCCAGGAAAAGCCUCUAAGCAUCAGGUAACAUUAAAUCGUACCCCAAACCGACACAGGUGGUCAGGUAGAGAAUACCAAGGCGCUUGAGAGAACUCGGGUGAAGGAACUAGGCAAAAUGGUGCCGUAACUUCGGGAGAAGGCACGCUGGUGUGUAGGUGAAGUCCCUGCGGAUGGAGCUGAGACCAGUCGAAGAUACCAGCUGGCUGCAACUGUUUAUUAAAAACACAGCACUGUGCAAACACGAAAGUGGACGUAUACGGUGUGACGCCUGCCCGGUGCCGGAAGGUUAAUUGAUGGGGUUAUCCGUAAGGAGAAGCUCUUGAUCGAAGCCCCGGUAAACGGCGGCCGUAACUAUAACGGUCCUAAGGUAGCGAAAUUCCUUGUCGGGUAAGUUCCGACCUGCACGAAUGGCGUAAUGAUGGCCAGGCUGUCUCCACCCGAGACUCAGUGAAAUUGAACUCGCUGUGAAGAUGCAGUGUACCCGCGGCAAGACGGAAAGACCCCGUGAACCUUUACUAUAGCUUGACACUGAACAUUGAGCCUUGAUGUGUAGGAUAGGUGGGAGGCUUUGAAGCGUGGACGCCAGUCUGCGUGGAGCCAACCUUGAAAUACCACCCUUUAAUGUUUGAUGUUCUAACGUUGGCCCCUUACCGGGGUUGCGGACAGUGUCUGGUGGGUAGUUUGACUGGGGCGGUCUCCUCCCAAAGCGUAACGGAGGAGCACGAAGGUUAGCUAAUCCUGGUCGGACAUCAGGAGGUUAGUGCAAUGGCAUAAGCUAGCUUGACUGCGAGCGUGACGGCGCGAGCAGGUGCGAAAGCAGGUCAUAGUGAUCCGGUGGUUCUGAAUGGAAGGGCCAUCGCUCAACGGAUAAAAGGUACUCCGGGGAUAACAGGCUGAUACCGCCCAAGAGUUCAUAUCGACGGCGGUGUUUGGCACCUCGAUGUCGGCUCAUCACAUCCUGGGGCUGAAGUAGGUCCCAAGGGUAUGGCUGUUCGCCAUUUAAAGUGGUACGCGAGCUGGGUUUAGAACGUCGUGAGACAGUUCGGUCCCUAUCUGCCGUGGGCGCUGGAGAAUUGAGGGGGGCUGCUCCUAGUACGAGAGGACCGGAGUGGACGCAUCACUGGUGUUCGGGUUGUCAUGCCAAUGGCACUGCCCGGUAGCUAAAUGCGGAAGAGAUAAGUGCUGAAAGCAUCUAAGCACGAAACUUGCCCCGAGAUGAGUUCUCCCUGAGACUUUAAGUCUCCUGAAGGAACGUUGAAGACGACGACGUUGAUAGGCCGGGUGUGUAAGCGCAGCGAUGCGUUGAGCUAACCGGUACUAAUGAACCGUGAGGCUUAACCUU
rnacentral:rRNA from 1 species